rnacentral:lncRNA from 1 species
AUUUUCAACAAAAAAAUUGUAUUGAAGUUGGAGGAAAGUUUUGGAAAAUGUUUUCCUUACUUUUUGAAGGGAAGUCGUUUUCCUUGAAUUUGAGGAAAAUGAGUUGAUUUGGAAAACAUAUUCCAAAAUAUUUUAUCCAACCAAACAUGGGAAAAUUGGAAAUCAUUUUCUGGAAAAUAUUAUGCUUCAUACCAAACACACCCUUAGUGACGAUAAGUGUAAUAGUAGACAAUAUCAUACUCCGCCUGAAUGUUGUUACUUGCUAGACAAAUAUGGGCUUCUCUCCACUCGUAGAAGGUUAGAAUUCGCAUGAAGCUCAUCUCUCCUCCAUCGACUUAACAGAAAUUGGACCUAGAAUUGCUUGGAAUAGCUUGUUAGACCUGACAAUUUUCAGAUGGGAACUGCUAGUGUUGAAACUCAAAAAAGCAUAGGCAACGGGAUAAACCAACAAGACAUCUACAUUUAUAUUAUUGGAUAAAGGAUGUUAGUUUUUUUUUGUUGUAAAGUAGUUGUGUAAAUAAUGACAGUGAUUGAUGUAUUAAAUUGUGUAUUCAUAUACAUAUAUCAUAUAUGUAUAAAAGCAGAGUAUGAUAAUUUGUGUAUGUGCAUCUAAUUAUUGCUUUUUGAAAAUUGUAUUACAUUUUUAAAAAUUGGAAAUCUAAGAACAUAUAUAUAGAG